UUAAUUGAAACCAAAAUAGAGGUAUAUCACUGUUAAUGAUAAAACUGAGAAACUUCUCCAAUUAAG
rnacentral:tRNA from 1 species